UACGAAGGGGGCUAGCGUUGCUCGGAAUUACUGGGCGUAAGCGCACGUAGGCGGAUCAUUAAGUCGGGGGGUGAAAUCCUGGAGCUCAACUCCAGAACUGCCUUCGAUACUGGCGAUCUUGAGUCCGGGAGAGGUGAGUGGAACUCCGAGUGUAGAGGUGAAAUUCGUAGAUAUUCGGAAGAACACCAGUGGCGAAGGCGCUCACUGGCCGGUACUGACGCUGAGGUGCGAAAGCGUGGGGGGAGCAAACAGG
rnacentral:rRNA from 1 species